UCUCUCUAAAUAAACUAGCAGCCACCACCAACAAUCAUCAGAGAUCUGAAGCCAAUCACCAACAACCCACCACCAGAUCUGAAGCUUGUCCCCAUUUUCAACCACCACCGCUAUCAUCACCUCCUGCCACCACCACUAGCCGCCGCCACCGUCACCUCCUGCGACCACCACCAAGCACCCAACACUCCCUCUCUACAUCCGACGCCCACGCUACCAACAUUGCAGUACACCCUUCGCUGCCGCAUCUGGAAAACGGUUGGUUGUUUCCCCCAACGAAACUGGUGACAAACGUGUGGGGUGUGGACAACGGUUCAGAUGUGGGUGAGAGAGGUGCGGUGGUGGUGAUUUGAGCGUGGAUUCACCAUCGCAGAUCUGAUAUGUUGUAGUGUGUUGUAGUGUUUGGAUUCACCAUCUGUUUUGAACCAGUUAAUACAGAGAUUAAAGGAACUCCAGUUACAGGGUUGUACUACUAGAUGAUGUGAAAGGGAGAACAAGUAAAGAUAGAUCGCGUAGGUGUAGGUGGGUGCCAGAGGUUGGGGUGAUGGUGGUAGGUGGCCUUGCUGCCGUGGCAGCCGGCCAUUUUCUAGAGAGAGGGACAUGAGAGAGAGAAGAGAAAGAAAGGGGAUAAGGUUUUUGAUUGUUUGGCUUUGAAGAUGAAAGGAAAAAGAAUAAAUAUUUUAAAUAUAAUAGGUGAAAUUACUAAACUACCCUCAUGUGUAAGGCAGAUGUUAAAUUUAACUGAAAAUUUUAACCUGGUUAGAGCUAAAGGACCUAGGGUGUAAUGAGUUUUACAAAUAAAGGACUGUGACUGUAAUUAUUGAAGUUAAAGGGUAUCCAUUGCAAUCUGAUACAAACUUAAAGGACGAAAAGCGUAAUUUACCCAUACUUUUUUUUGGAGCAACAAGUCUUAUCUUGGGCCAGUAACUCUUAUCAUCUUGUUAGGCUAAACUUUUCGUUCUUUAUGUUUUUAGCGAGUUGUAAUGGAUAACAUUUAAUUUUAAUAAUUACAGUCACAGUCCUUUAUUUUGCAAACCUGUUACACUUUAGGUCCUUUGACCCUAACCAGAUUAAAACUUUCAGUUAAGUGAGGUCAUGUGCAACCCAUAUAAGGGCAAAACAAUCAUUCAUAUGAGGGCAAAACAGUCAUUUAAUAAAAAAAGAGUGAAUUUCAAAUUUUUUUCAUUUAUCUUUAUACUGAAUUUCAAGCGUUGUCCUUUAUCUUUCAAAUUGACGAGUCUUAUACUUAAUGUUUUAAAAUCUUGCAUGUUAUGUCCUUUAGCCCUAACCCAGUAGAUUUUUCUGUUAAAUCUGGUCAUGUGACUUGCACAUGAUGGUAUUAUUGUCAUUUCACUUUUUAGGGACUAGCUGUGUAAAUAAAUUGAAUACCUAACCAUUAAAAAUAUUAAAAUUUAAAUGGAUCCCACCCAAACCUCUCACCCAAUCAGCCCCCAACCAUCUCUGUGGGACCCACCACCACCAACAAUCAUCUUCAACACCUUUGUUCCCCAUCCCCACUUCUGAAAAUGCCUGUGAAUUUGAAAUCUAACGUGAUUCCACCGAUUCUCUCCGACGACAUGAACUCGAAGCCGCUGCUACAAGUAUUAGACAUCAAACUCAUUGGCUCUUCACAAGAACGCUACCGUUUACUCCUCUUCGAUUCUGUUUCCACUCAGCAAGCAAUGCUAGCCACUCAGCUUAAUGAUCGAGUUAAAACCAUCACCGUUCUCAAAGGAUUCGUUGUUCAGCUCGUCGAAUACAUUUGCAACACUAUUCAAAAUCGCAAGUUCGUUCAUUAACAUAUCAAGACCAGGUGUACUUUGGUUAGAAACUGGUAUACUCCCUAUGAACUUGUUAUUAGUGAGAUCUAGCCAAUCAAGAUUCCUAAGCUUGCAAAUUGAAGCUGGAAUGGAUCCCAUGAAGCUGUUUGAAUUUAGAGAUCUAUGCAAAGAUGGUUGGAGGCUGA